UCGAGCGGACAGAUGGGAGCUUGCUCCCUGAUGUUAGCGGCGGACGGGUGAGUAACACGUGGGUAACCUGCCUGUAAGACUGGGAUAACUCCGGGAAACCGGGGCUAAUACCGGAUGGUUGUUUGAACCGCAUGGUUCAAACAUAAAAGGUGGCUUCGGCUACCACUUACAGAUGGACCCGCGGCGCAUUAGCUAGUUGGUGAGGUAACGGCUCACCAAGGCAACGAUGCGUAGCCGACCUGAGAGGGUGAUCGGCCACACUGGGACUGAGACACGGCCCAGACUCCUACGGGAGGCAGCAGUAGGGAAUCUUCCGCAAUGGACGAAAGUCUGACGGAGCAACGCCGCGUGAGUGAUGAAGGUUUUCGGAUCGUAAAGCUCUGUUGUUAGGGAAGAACAAGUACCGUUCGAAUAGGGCGGUAC
rnacentral:rRNA from 1 species